rnacentral:lncRNA from 1 species
AUGACGUCGGAGCAGUGAGGGUGGACGGAAGUGGUUGUGCGGUGGCAGAUUGUCGAUGGAAGGCCUUGAGUGGGAAUCGAGCCCUUCGGAAGUUUGGAUUCCGGUGGAAUUGACAGCGGCGAUGAUGCUCGAUUGAAGGAAGUGGCUGAUAGUGACGGUGGAGGGCGUCGGAAGGUCGGCAUCAGGUUGUAGCAGUGGAGUUGGUUGCGGCAGAUUUUGUGGCAGCGACUUCAGAGGUUGAGCGGUCAGGGAUUCGGGUUAGAGAUUUGGGGAGGAUUGGGAAGGCUUUGAAUGGGUCGGGUAAUUUUUUUAGGAAUUUGAUUUCGAUAUCAUGGGGCAACAUGUUUGUCAUUUGUCAACCUAUGCGGA